rnacentral:rRNA from 1 species
GACAGAGGAUGCAAGCGUUAUCCGGAAUCAUUGGGCGUAAAGAGCGCGUAGGUGGAUCAAUUAGUCUGCUGUGAAAGUCAAAGGCUCAACCUUUGAAAGCCGGUGGAUACUGUUGAUCUAGAGUACGGAAGAGGCGAGUGGAAUUCCUGGUGUAGCGGUGGAAUGCGCAGAUAUCAGGAGGAACACCAAUAGCGAAGGCAGCUCGCUGGGACGUUACUGACACUGAGGCGCGAAAGCGUGGGGAGCAAACAGG